UACGGAGGGCGCGAGCGUUAAUCGGAAUUACCGGGCGUAAAGCGCGCGUAGGCUGUUGUGUAAGUUGGGGGUGAAAUCCCACGGCUCAACCGUGGAACAGCCCUUGAUACUGCGCGACUUGAGUCCGGGAGAGGGUGGCGGAAUUCCAGGUGUAGGAGUGAAAUCCGUAGAUAUCUGGAGGAACAUCAGUGGCGAAGGCGGCCACCUGGACCGGUAUUGACGCUGAGGCGCGAAAGCGUGGGGAGCAAACAGG
rnacentral:rRNA from 1 species